UUGUUCUGGGUGAAGUUCUUUACCGUAGGAAAACUGGAUGAGACACAGAAAUGGGAGUGGAUGUUGCCACAAUCUGCAUGUUCGCCCAAGGCCAGGAAUAAAAAUCACAAAGAAGGAAUGCGAGUGAUUUAUAACCUGCUUCACAGCCUUAAGCCACUGAAGCAGGGUGCAAGAGAUGAAAUACAGGUCUUCCCAAACUCUUAGCCACCUACUCAUCCCCAUCUACACAAAAAUCACCGGCGUUCCGUGUUCUUUUCCAUUGCUCAGUCCCUCACGACAUUCCUUACAAUGCAAAAAACCCAAUGAGCAAAAUUAUGCAGUUGGCAGCCAAAGGUUCCAAAAGACUAAAGAAGCUGUCACUGUUCCCGAAAGCUCACAAGUGAAAAGCUAAACAAAAACCGACGUGCCACUAAGUACACAAAUCAGAAGGCUGGAGAGAAGGAGGACUUCAAUGCACUAUCUAAAUAAAUAAAAGUCGACCUCGAUGCUG